rnacentral:misc_RNA from 1 species
AUCUAAUUUUUCUAGAGAGAGAAGGUUUAGAAAAGGAGAGAUAAAUCUUGCUUCAAUUCUGGAGAGAGAAAGCUGUGGUUUUUAGAAAGAGAAAGCUUCUCUUAGCGGUCGUUGUCUCUCUCGCUCUGGUUCUCUGAUCUCUCUGCUUUGUUUAUGAGAUCUAGCGUUAAUUAGGUGAUAUUUGAGCAUUUCUAAGCGAAAACGGGGCUGUUAA